rnacentral:rRNA from 1 species
GACGAACCGUGCGAACGUUGUUCGGAAUCACUGGGCUUAAAGGGCGCGUAGGCGGGUGCUCAAGUCUGUGGUGAAAUCCUCCGGCUCAACCGGAGAACUGCCAUGGAUACUGGGUGCCUCGAGGGUGGUAGGGGUAUGCGGAACUAUCGGUGGAGCGGUGAAAUGCGUUGAUAUCGAUAGGAACUCCGGUGGCGAAGGCGGCAUACUGGACCACUUCUGACGCUGAGGCGCGAAAGCCAGGGGAGCAAACGGG